rnacentral:rRNA from 1 species
UACAGAGGGGGCAAGCGUUGUUCGGAAUUACUGGGCGUAAAGGGCGCGUAGGCGGCCUGCUAAGUCGAACGUGAAAUCCCCGGGCUCAACCCGGGAACUGCGUCCGAUACUGGUGGGCUUGAAUCCGGGAGAGGGAUGUGGAAUUCCAGGUGUAGCGGUGAAAUGCGUAGAUAUCCGGAGGAACACCGGUGGCGAAGGCGGCAUCCUGGACCGGUAUUGACGCUGAGGCGCGAAAGCCAGGGGAGCAAACGGG